GGGUAGCGCCGGGGCCGCGACGACCGCCCAGUUCCGGCUGGUUUAGGCCCUCCAGCCCCCGGGUUUCGCUUUCAAGCGCGCAGAGCGGGAGGAGCGCGGGUCAGCGCCGGGAGCCCUGGAGUCCCAGGGAGAAACUCGCCGCUGCGUCGCGUGGGCCGGCUUCAGGGUCAAGUUCGCGCGCUCCGCGUUUCACACUUUUCGUUGCGGGCGAGGUAGAGGAAGGUUGACGGUGGUCGCUCCGAGCGGUCCCCACAGCUGGUAACUUACGGUCGGUGACAGUGACCUUUCGCAUUGCACUCGCCGGCACGUCGCAGGUUCCCGCCACCCAAGCCGUGGCCGCACAGACCUGUAGCCUUUCAACAGAGCACCCCAGGGAAGGAGGCGAUGUCUGCGCUUUAAAAAUCAAACUUCCUGAAAGAGUGGGCUUUGAGGGAACCGGAGCUAGAAAGUGCAGCGUUUCUAAAAGCUGAACAAUAGCAGUGAAUGCAGGAAGAAAGUUGUUCAUGAAACUGCGGUGUCCUUAGUAGUCAAAGAAAAAGUUACUAAAGUUCAAUACAGUUACAAAGGUAAGAAUUGUGUGCAUAUAGAUCUUGGAGAGAUUUUUGGACAAUAGACAUUAUACACAAAAAGUUUCUCUUCUAAAUCCUAAAGUUACCAGAAAUUGUAGUUCUUUUGUCUUGUGAUAAAUAUUCUUAUGUAAGCUGAAUGGGAAGAUCUGCUCCUGACCUAUCCAGAUACUGAACCUCAACUAACAGAUAUGAAUUUAGUUGUUUCUGUUUCUAAUCAAAGAAAUAAAGCUUGCUCCUUAAUUGGGUUGGGAGGCUGACAUUAGAAGGUAAUUAUAUUCUUGGCUUCAAAGCAAAAUUGGGGAAAAAACAAAACAGAAGAAACUCUUUUCGGACCCACGAGACUCAGGUACUUUCUUAGCUCUUCUUAAAGAGUUCCUGUCCUCUUCUGGGCCUCCAGGCACCCUGAGGACUGCUGAGAAAACCAGGUGAGAAGGCAUAUGUGGUUACAUGGUAUGUGGUUACAUACCUGGCUCUUAAGAGAGAGCUAUUCUAUCUUGAUUGAUCCGCCACCAUAUCUGCUGAGCAGUGUGAACCUUCUAAUAGUUAUAUGACAUUACCAUUCUCCAGUAGGCGAAUUCUUUAAUUUUUCGAACUUUUAGCACAAAAGUUCGUAGUCACACAACUCUGUGAUUGGAUCAGGCUAUACAAUACCAAACAUCCAAAGAGAAAGAAAAAAAAAUUCAAUGGGGCAUCAACAUUUUAGGAAAGUUCUUCGUAGUUCAUUUCAGGUAAACUUUUAAAGGAAUCCAGAACAUCUGUGCCACUCCCUCAAGGCAGGAGGGAUACACAUCUGUACCUUCACUCUCUUAUGUCUCCAGGGACAGAAGUUUCACUAGGAAGUUUAUCACUGUGGUUUAUCAAACUCUGCCCUGUUGGCCCAAUCCCAUGUCUUAUUCCUCAGUGAAGAUAAAGAACCGUGGUCAGCAUAAUAUAAACAAGCAUUUAAAGCCAGUAAGAGAGUGGAAGGAGAUGACUUUCCAAGGUCAUGUAUCUCUUCUCCUCAAGCCCUUCAGAGGCUUCCAUCUGAAUUCUCCUACGUGGUCUUAUACGGCUCAGUCCUGCCUGUGUCUCCAGCCUUACAUCACUUAAUUCCUGCUAUCCUGGCCUUUUUCCAGUUCCUAGAGCAAACCAAACCGUUUUCCCUCUCAGGACUUCAUACUUGCAGUUCCUUGUGCUGGAAUGUUCCUGUCCACUCUGUCCCCGGCUAACUCCUAUUCAGACUUGGCAUCUCACCUCCAAUGUGCGUCCUUCAAGGAGAUCUUCCCAAAAUCCCCAGAGAGGGAAAAAAUAUUGUUUAUUAUGCCUAUGAACAAAUGAGCCAAACUCUAGGUUUGGAGCUUUUGAAUGCAGUCUAUUACAGCAUCUCUACUUAUUAGAACUAAUAUACUAUAAUUAACAGAAUGAGGGUAUUUGUUGAAGUGUGUCUUCUUUGAUAUGAACACAACAGCAUCAGGUAUUUUAUUUCACUGAGAAAUUAUUUCAGGAUAUUUUUCAAACACACACAAAUUAUCCCAGUGAACUAAUUAAAUUUUCUUCAUUAUUUUAUUCUUUUUAGCUUUUAAUUUUGAACUAUUCUGAGACUUACAGAAAAGCUAUAGAAAUAAUAGAGCUCUCAUAAACCCCUCACCCAGUUUCUCUUAAUUUUAACAUGUUACGUAACUGUGGUACAGUGUUCAGAAUGAGGAAAUUAACAUUGGUAUAGUAUUGACACUAUUCACUAAACUAUAGACUUUGUUCCAAUUUCACCCUUUUUUCCACUAAUUCCCCUUUUCUGUUCCAGGAUCAAUCCAGGGUCCUUAUUACACUUAGUUGCUCUGUCUCCUUCCUCUCUUCCAAUCUAUGACAGUUCCUCAGCCUCUCUGCUUUCAUGUCUUUGACAUUUUUGAAGAGCUCUUAUCACCUCCUCCUCAGGCUGCCCCUCAAUGUGGGUUCAUUUGAAGUUUCCUCUUGAUUAGAGUGAGGUUAUUCCUUUCGGGCAAUAAUACCACAGAGAUUAUGUUGUCUUUCCCAGCGCAUCAUAUCAAAGGGUUUAUGAUGUCAAUGUGUCUUCUUCCUGGCGAUGUUAACCUUGAUCAUUUGGUUUAGGUGGUGUCUGCAGGGGUUUUCACUGUAUAGUUACUAUUUUCACUUUCUGAUUAAUAAAUACAUUGUGGGAAGAUACUUUGAGAUCAUGCAAAUAUCCUGUUUCUCCUCAAACUUACACCCACUAAUUUAGUAUUCAUCAGUGGAUACUGAAUGCAACAACUAUGAUGCCUAAUGGUGAUUUUUUUAAUUUCAUUUUUUCCUUCUCUAUUUAUUAAAUUGGAAUUCUAAUGCAAAGAAGAGCAUUUACUUCUCCCCCAUUUAUUUAUUUAUUCAAUUGCUUAAAUAUAUCAAUAUGGACUCAUAAAUAUUUACUUUAUUCUUUGAGUUAUAAUCCAAUACUAUUAUUAUUAAUUUUGCUGCUCAAAUUGUUCCAGCUUUGGCCAUUAAAAGCUCUUUUAGUUUGGCUCCCAUGUCCUUUCAACAAGCCCCAUUCUUUUUAAGCAUUUCAUUGCUUUCUAGCAACAUAAAAUGUUUCAGGUUCAUCUUGUAUUUUCCCUUCCCCAGGGCUGAAUCAGCUACUUCCCCAAGGAGCUCUAGCUCCUUCUACUGGAGAAUAGGAUCUAGAAACCAAAAUCUAGUUGCCAGGCAUACUCAUUGCUACUGGAAUGUUGUUUCUAGGCUCUCUCAGCGGAGAGAGCUGGAAGUUAUAAAUAUGUAUACUAACCCAGGCAUCCACACACAUCUGUAUUUCUGUAUCUAUAUGUAUGUGUCUAUGUAUACAAAAGACAAUAAGCUUACACUGAUACCUCUGAUUCCAAGAGCACAGAGUUCAUUGUCUUUAUUUGUAGCUUCUUUCUCCAACAGUGAGAAACCUGAUAUCAUUAUCUAUAAUAGAUUUACUUAUUUCUUCAUUUCUAGUUUAGAGUUUCAGAAGUAUUAACCCAUGCUUCUAUGAGAAGGACAUUUACUAACUAGAUUAUAGCAUCUAUAUACAGUUCUUUUGUCUUUAGCUUUAUAAUACCCAGUCAAGAUACUGUUGACCAAAGUUACUUAGAUUAGACCGGUUUUCUUUCACCUUCUUUACUUUAUUGUCUAUUUGUAAUAAGGUUAGGUUCAUUUGUUACUGUUUGUAUUUCAGUUGGGGUUUCCCACAUGCUAGUUGGUUUUGUUUCUUGAUUUGGGAGUAUUUGAAGGGUAUGUGAGACAUUACUGUAGUUUAAGAGUCAGAGAGAGAUGUACCAAAUGGUACACUUGGAGAGGGGUUGCCCCCUCAUCAUCCUUACAAUCUGGUUCCUAUUCUCAUUCCACGUCACCCCCGUAGGUAACCAGUCUCCUUAGUUACUGGUUUAUCCUUCCUGUAUUUCUUUUGCACCAGUGAACAGAUAAGUGUGUAUUUUCUCAUAUUCCCCUUCUUUCUCACAUGAAACCUAACAUACUACAGGUUCUCUUUUCCACUUAGCAUUUUUUCACUUAACAGGAUAUGUCUUUUCUGCUUCACAAAUCUGUAAUCCUCAAAGGUAGGCCCUGACUAUACCGGCCAAAUUCAUAUCAAGGCUAAAUCGUUUCCAAAUCUUGCUUCAACUUCGCAGGAAAGCACCUGGUUUUAAACAUAUUGUAUGCUAAAAGUCGAGAACUUGGUCUACAUCUGGGUGCUCUAUUGCAGCUAAAGCAGGAUUUGUCUUCUCAAAUGUUCUUUCCAUCAAACAAGCUUGUCCUCUUUUCCAGCUUCUCUCCCAUUCCCUUUGGAGCAGACAUGAGGGAUUUCUUGUACAUUUGCAUGUACAUUUAUCAUUUAUUGGCUAUUAUAUAGCUCCUCAUUGAUCAGCUCGAAGCCCAUCCUCAGCAUGUCUGGAGAGCAUCAUAUACCUGAGAUCUGAGCGUGUGGCUAUAGGUAUCACCAGCCUCCCCUUUCGGAAGAUGUGCUCCUACUGCCUGUAGCUAUUUAUCCAGCUUCCUAUAGAACAAACCCAGGAAAGGCAGAAUUUGCUCCCUAGAGAACAAUAAAGGAGAUCUGUUACCCACAGGAGGUGGCAUGGUGUACGACCAAGGCGGUAGGGCUGAGGAGGGGCGUCAGUUCCCUGAGUGCACCAUUCCAUACAGCUCUGACUCAGAGCCAUAGGUAGGAUGCAGAUUUUGCAUUUAAGCCUAAACUUUAGACAAAGACAAUAAGCAGUCACAUAUAUUUUAAAUUUUUAGUAUUAAUGCUAUAAAACUAAUACUUUAGUAUAAGCAUCUCAUAAAACGUUAUGAGCAUAAAACAUUAACUAUGUUUAAGUGCUUGGCAUAGUGCUUUUCACAAAUGUCACUCAGUAAAUUUGCCUUUUU